rnacentral:rRNA from 1 species
UACGAAGGGGGCUAGCGUUGCUCGGAAUCACUGGGCGUAAAGGUGCGUAGGCGGGUCUUUAAGUCAGGGGUGAAAUCCUGGAGCUCAACUCCAGAACUGCCCUUGAUACUGAGGAUCUUGAGUUCGGGAGAGGUGAGUGGAACUGCGAGUGUAGAGGUGAAAUUCGUAGAUAUUCGCAAGAACACCAGUGGCGAAGGCGGCUCACUGGCCCGAUACUGACGCUGAGGCACGAAAGCGUGGGGAGCAAACAGGG